rnacentral:rRNA from 1 species
ACUCAAAGGAAUUGACGGGGACCCGCACAAGCAGCGGAGCGUGUGGUUUAAUUCGAGGCUACGCGCAGAACCUUACCAGGGAUUGACAUGACUGUGGUAGUGAAGCGAAAGCGGAACGACCCUUCGGGGAGCAGUCACAGGUGAUGCAUGGCUGUCGUCAGCUCGUGCCGUGAGGUGUUUGGUUAAGUCCACUAACGAGCGCAACCCCUAGCCUCGGUUACACGUGUCUGAGGCGACUGCCGGUAUUAAGCCGGAGGAAGGUGGGGAUGACGUCAAGUCCGCAUGUCCUUUAUAUCCUGGGCUACACACACGCUACAAUGGCCAGUACAGUGGGUCGCGAAGCCGCGAGGCGGAGCCAAUCCUAAAAAGCUGGUCUCAGUUCGGAUUGCAGGCUGCAACCCGCCUGCAUGAAGUCGGAGUUGCUAGUAACCGCAGGACAGCUAUACUGCGGUGAAUACGUUCCCGGGUCUUGUACACACCGCCCGU